rnacentral:lncRNA from 1 species
GCAAGGUAAAUGAGAAACAUAGCAAUCACUCCCCUGUAAUAAUGUUGCUCUGCCAGCCCAAUACACGAGAGGGGGACUAUAUAAGAAUCAAUGAAGCUGUCACUAUCACGAACUACCCCACGAUCUGGCAUAUUGGGUAAAAUCGCAGAUAAAUACGGUAUAAGCACCACGCCUAGACAAUAUCUAUCAUUUACCCAUGGAUCCGAUGGAU